rnacentral:rRNA from 1 species
UAGGUCGCAAGACUGAAACUUAAAGGAAUUGGCGGGGGAGCACCACAAGGGGUGAAGCCUGCGGUUCAAUUGGAGUCAACGCCGGAAAUCUUACCGGGGGCGACAGCAGAGUGAAGGUCAAGCUGAAGACUUUACCAGACAAGCUGAGAGGAGGUGCAUGGCCGUCGCCAGCUCGUGCCGUGAGGUGUCCUGUUAAGUCAGGUAACGAGCGAGAUCCCUGCCUCUAGUUGCUACCAUUAUUCUCAGGAGUAGUGGAGCUAAUUAGAGGGACCGCCGUCGCUGAGACGGAGGAAGGUGGGGGCUACGGCAGGUCAGUAUGCCCCGAAACCCUCGGGCCACACGCGGGCUGCAAUGGUAAGGACAAUGAGUUUCGAUUCCAAAGGAGGAGGCAAUCUCUAAACCUUACCACAGUUAUGAUUGAGGGCUGAAACUCGCCCUCAUGAAUAUGGAAUCCCUAGUAACCGCGUGUCACUAUCGCGCGGUGAAUACGUCCCUGCUCCUUGUACACACCGCCCGUAAUUCCGCGGCCGCCAUGGGGCGGACAUGCACUCGGCCCAAUUCCCUAUAGUGAAUCGAAUAAUU